rnacentral:rRNA from 1 species
UACAGAGGGGGCAAGCGUUGUUCGGAAUUACUGGGCGUAAAGGGCGCGUAGGCGGCCUGUUAAGUCGAACGUGAAAUCCCCGGGCUCAACCCGGGAACUGCGUCCGAUACUGGCAGGCUUGAAUCCGGGAGAGGGAUGCAGAAUUCCAGGUGUAGCGGUGAAAUGCGUAGAUAUCUGGAGGAAUACCGGUGGCGAAGGCGGCAUCCUGGACCGAGAUUGACGCUGAUGAGCGAAAGCUAGGGGAGCAAACGGGG